rnacentral:rRNA from 1 species
GACAGAGGUGCCAAGCGUUAGGCGGAAUCACUGGGCUUAAAGCGUGUGUAGGCGGAUCGUUAAGUACCUUGUGAAAUCCCACGGCUCAACCGUGGAACUGCUGGGUAUACUGGCGGUCUUGAGCCACCUAGGGGCAACUGGAACAAGCGGUGGAGCGGUGAAAUGCGUAGAUAUCUGGAGGAACACCGGUGGCGAAGGCGGCAUCCUGGACCAACACUGACGCUGAGGAGCGAAAGCCAGGGGAGCAAACGGG